AUAUAGGGCAUGGAUUGACGUCAAUAGCUAAAUAUUUGUAAGCAUUAUUGAUGAGUGUCGUACACAUUAACACACGUAUCAUCGAAUACUGUAUAAUGCUGAUCUUUCAUUAUCUUUAAUCGAUAGUAAAACACCGCAGUGGAAGCGUUUUAUAAGAGAAAGAUUCUGUCUGUCGAGGAGGACUAACCUAGCAUCGGCUUCGUGAGUUUUUCUGCUGUCAACUUUCACGCGAGCCCUUAGGAAACCUUCGUAACCGAUUCCUAGUACAUUCAUCAUGACAGGUCAACUGACCUGAUUCCAUCCUCAAUUAAUGUCCCACACAACAAGGCUGAAAACCCAACAGCGAACCCA